rnacentral:misc_RNA from 1 species
GUGAAUCUAGCGUGUCUUCGGAGCGCGAACUCUCACUUUACACACUGUGCACUUUAUUCAGCGGAUGACGAGGCUUUCGAGUCGAGUCUCUGCGCUCACAUUUAAACACGAGUUGAUGUAUGUCAAUAUAUUAAAACAAAGAA